rnacentral:misc_RNA from 1 species
GCUGCUUGCCUUCUACCUUCACUGCUUCCUCCCGCACUGCUUCCUCCUGCACUGUCAAUCCCACCUCUUUCACCUUGGUUACCAAAACCUCCGCCAACUUUUCCAAAGAAGCUUCUGCAACUCCGCCAAUUCCGAUAGCAAUAAUCAUUAUUAUAAUCAUGAUCAGAGUUCCAUCCACUUGGACCCCCAUAGCUGCUCUCAUCUUCAACGUCCCCUCCAUGACCAAAACCACUUAAAGCACUAUAAAUGCUAAAAACAAGAAAAAUCAUGCACAAUAAUUUAGUAGACAUUCUAGAAGAAACAAGGCUUAUGUAGCCAAGC